UGGCCAGACAGGGAGAAGGGCUUGCUCUGAGAGCUCUGGAGGAGGAUGUAGCCAGUUCCAGACUGGGAGAAGGAAUGUCAGUGAGCGGCAGUCCUUGCAGGCUGAAGCCAGGCUACAAUUCUGGUACAGUUGCCACGGUGAUGUGAUGUACAAAAACCAAUCCGCUCCGAAUCCUUUAGUCAUGGUAGAUACUGGGCUUCUUAGACUCCAGAAGUCUUGACUAUCCAGCAGUGGGGUAAAUAACUCUUUUAUGCUCUGUUUAUUUACUCACAAACAUUGAUUUGCAAUAUCUGUGCAAACAGAUGCUGUUAGACAACCAUAUGUGUAUUCAUAUAGCUAAACAUAUUCACACAAUUGACAAGACAACAAUAUUGUCAUGACCUGAAGACCUUCUGGUGGCCAGAGGGGAAUCAGGCGAAUAGUUUUUAGAAACAAGAUUGUUAACUUUGCAUCAGAUCUUGUUUAUGGAUUUGUGACACUGAAAAUACUGUGAAAUGUUUCUCUGCAAAAAGAUGCAUCUCUGACUACAUUUUGAAUAUUCGGAGCUGCUACCGGCCUACCUUUUGGAAAAAAAUACUGUCUUUUCAAGGAUGAAUUACGUGCAAAGCUUAAAUAGACUGCAUUACCCAGCUAAGACCAGACUUAAUAAAACUGAUUCUAUUAUC